rnacentral:SRP_RNA from 1 species
GCUGGGCGCGGUGGCUCACGCCUGUAAUCCUAGCACUUUGGGAGGCCGAGGCAGGCGGAUCACCUGAGGUCAGGAGUUUGAGACCAGCCUGACCAACAUGGUGAAACCCUGUCUCUA